AUGAACGCUAGCGGCAGGCUUAACACAUGCAAGUCGAGGGGCAGCGGGGAGUAGCAAUACUCCGCCGGCGACCGGCGCACGGGUGCGUAACGCGUAUGCAACCUACCUUUAACAGGGGCAUAACACUGAGAAAUUGGUACUAAUUCCCCAUAACAUUCGAGAAGGCAUCUUCUUGGGUUAAAAACUCCGGUGGUUAAAGAUGGGCAUGCGUUGUAUUAGCUAGUUGGUGAGGUAACGGCUCACCAAGGCAACGAUACAUAGGGGGACUGAGAGGUUAACCCCCCACAUUGGUACUGAGACACGGACCAAACUCCUACGGGAGGCAGCAGUGAGGAAUAUUGGUCAAUGGACGCAAGUCUGAACCAGCCAUGCCGCGUGCAGGAAGACGGCUCUAUGAGUUGUAAACUGCUUUUGUACUAGGGUAAACGCUUCUACGUGUAGGAGCCUGAAAGUAUAGUACGAAUAAGGAUCGGCUAACUCCGUGCCAGCAGCCGCGGUAAUACGGAGGAUCCAAGCGUUAUCCGGAUUUAUUGGGUUUAAAGGGUGCGUAGGCGGUUUGAUAAGUUAGAGGUGAAAUACCGGGGCUCAACUCCGGAACUGCCUCUAAUACUGUUGAACUAGAGAGUAGUUGCGGUAGGCGGAAUGUAUGGUGUAGCGGUGAAAUGCUUAGAGAUCAUACAGAACACCGAUUGCGAAGGCAGCUUACCAAACUAUAUCUGACGUUGAGGCACGAAAGCGUGGGGAGCAAACAGGAUUAGAUACCCUGGUAGUCCACGCAGUAAACGAUGAUAACUCGUUGUCGGCGAUACACAGUCGGUGACUAAGCGAAAGCGAUAAGUUAUCCACCUGGGGAGUACGUUCGCAAGAAUGAAACUCAAAGGAAUUGACGGGGGCCCGCACAAGCGGUGGAGCAUGUGGUUUAAUUCGAAGCAACGCGAAGAACCUUACCAGGUCUUGACAUCGAUCUAAAGGCUCCAGAGAUGGAGAGAUAGCUAUAGAGAAGACAGGUGGUGCAUGGUUGUCGUCAGCUCGUGUCGUGAGAUGUUGGGUUAAGUCCCGCAACGAGCGCAACCCUUAUCCUCAGUAGCCAGCAGGUAAAGCUGGGCACUCUGUGGAGACUGCCAGGGAUAACCUGGAGGAAGGUGGGGAUGACGUCAAAUCAGCACGGCCCUUACGUCCGGGGCUACACACGUGUUACAAUGGUAGGUACAGAGGGCCGCUACCCCGCGAGGGGAUGCCAAUCUCGAAAGCCUAUCUCAGUUCGGAUCGGAGGCUGAAACCCGCCUCCGUGAAGUUGGAUUCGCUAGUAAUCGCGCAUCAGCCAUGGCGCGGUGAAUACGUUCCCGGGCCUUGUACACACCGCCCGUCAAGCCAUGGAAGCUGGGGGUGCCUGAAGUUCGUGACCGCAAGGAGCGACCUAGGGCAAAACCGGUGACUGGGGCU
rnacentral:rRNA from 1 species